rnacentral:rRNA from 1 species
GAUGAACGCUGGCGGUAUGCUUAACACAUGCAAGUCGAACGGACUCUUCGGAGUUAGUGGCGGACGGGUGAGUAACGCGUGAGAAUCUGGCUUUGGGUUCGGGACAACCACUGGAAACGGUGGCUAAUACCGGAUGUGCCGAGAGGUAAAAGAGAAAUUACCUGAAGAUGAGCUCGCGUCUGAUUAGCUAGUUGGUGAGGUAAAGGCUCACCAAGGCAGCGAUCAGUAGCUGGUCUGAGAGGAUGACCAGCCACACUGGGACUGAGACACGGCCCAGACUCCUACGGGAGGCAGCAGUGGGGAAUUGUCCGCAAUGGGCGAAAGCCUGACGGAGCAAUACCGCGUGAGGGAAGAAGGCUCUUGGGUUGUAAACCUCUUUUCUUAGGGAAGAACAAAAUGACGGUACCUAAGGAAUCAGCAUCGGCUAACUCCGUG